rnacentral:rRNA from 1 species
AGGUUGCGGCUGCUUACCAUGCAGUCGAACGGUGAAGCAGAGCUUGCUCUGUGGAUCAGUGGCGAACGGGUGAGUAACACGUGAGCAAUCUGCCCCUGACUCUGGGAUAAGCGCUGGAAACGGCGUCUAAUACCGGAUACGAGCUGCGACCGCAUGGUCAGUAGCUGGAAAGAAUUUCGGUCAGGGAUGAGCUCGCGGCCUAUCAGCUUGUUGGUGAGGUAAUGGCUCACCAAGGCGUCGACGGGUAGCCGGCCUGAGAGGGUGACCGGCCACACUGGGACUGAGACACGGCCCAGACUCCUACGGGAGGCAGCAGUGGGGAAUAUUGCACAAUGGGCGCAAGCCUGAUGCAGCAACGCCGCGUGAGGGAUGACGGCCUUCGGGUUGUAAACCUCUUUUAGCAGGGAAGAAGCGAAAGUGACGGUACCUGCAGAAAAAGCGCCGGGCUAACUACGUGCCAGCAGCCGCGGUAAUACGUAGGGCGCAAGCGUUAUCCGGAAUUAUUGGGCGUAAAGAGCUCGUAGGCGGUCUGUCGCGUCUGCUGUGAAAACCCGAGGCUCAACCUCGGGCCUGCAGUGGGUACGGGCAGACUAGAGUGCGGUAGGGGAGAUUGGAAUUCCUGGUGUAGCGGUGGAAUGCGCAGAUAUCAGGAGGAACACCGAUGGCGAAGGCAGAUCUCUGGGCCGUAACUGACGCUGAGGAGCGAAAGGGUGGGGAGCAAACAGGCUUAGAUACCCUGGUAGUCCACCCCGUAAACGUUGGGAACUAGUUGUGGGGUCCAUUCCACGGAUUCCGUGACGCAGCUAACGCAUUAAGUUCCCCGCCUGGGGGAGUACGGCCGCAAGGCUAAAACUCAAAGGAAUUGACGGGGACCCGCACAAGCGGCGGAGCAUGCGGAUUAAUUCGAUGCAACGCGAAGAACCUUACCAAGGCUUGACAUAUAGAGGAAACGUCUGGAAACAGUCGCCCCGCAAGGUCUCUAUACAGGUGGUGCAUGGUUGUCGUCAGCUCGUGUCGUGAGAUGUUGGGUUAAGUCCCGCAACGAGCGCAACCCUCGUUCUAUGUUGCCAGCACGUAAUGGUGGGAACUCAUGGGAUACUGCCGGGGUCAACUCGGAGGAAGGUGGGGAUGACGUCAAAUCAUCAUGCCCCUUAUGUCUUGGGGCUUCACGCAUGCUACAAUGGCCGGUACAAAGGGCUGCAAUACCGUGAGGUGGAGCGAAUCCCAAAAAGCCGGUCCCAGUUCGGAUUGAGGUCUGCAACUCGACCUCAUGAAGUCGGAGUCGCUAGUAAUCGCAGAUCAGCAACGCUGCGGUGAAUACGUUCCCGGGUCUUGUACACACCGCCCGUCAAGUCAUGAAAGUCGGUAACACCUGAAGCCGGUGGCCCAACCCUUGUGGAGGGAGCCGUCGAAGGUGGAUCCGUAUUGG